rnacentral:rRNA from 1 species
AUUGUAUCCACGAUUGGGGAAUUUUCCGCAAUGGGCGAAAGCCUGACGGAGCAAUACCGCGUGAGGGAGGAAGGCUCUUGGGUUGUAAACCUCUUUUCUCAGGGAAGAAUGAUGACGGUACCUGAGGAAUAAGCAUCGGCUAACUCCGUGCCAGCAGCCGCGGUAAUACGGAGGAUGCAAGCGUUAUCCGGAAUGAUUGGGCGUAAAGCGUCCGCAGGUGGCAAUGUAAGUCUGCUGUCAAAGCGUCUGGCUCAACCAGAUAAAGGCAGUGGAAACUACAUAGCUAGAGUAAGGUAGGGGUAGAGGGAAUUCCUGGUGUAGCGGUGAAAUGCGUAGAGAUCAGGAAGAACACCGGUGGCGAAAGCGCUCUGCUGGACCUUAACUGACACUGAGGGACGAAAGCUAGGGGAGCGAAUGGGAUUAGAUACCCCAGUAGUCAAUCGUGGAUACAAU